UGAAUUUCAUUCUUAUAUUAUAUAUAUAGGUUAUAUGGAUAUAUAUACCUUAUCUCUUCCUUCUAUAGCUUCUUCACCACAACUAUUAUGGAAGAGCUUCAACAAGACAAAGAAGAUACUCAAAACUCGAGACCCGAGUUUUCCCAAGACGAAGAAUUGCUUGUAGCCAGGAUGUUUCGUUUGGUUGGGAAAAGGUGGAGGUUAAUUGCUGGGAGAAUUCCGGGACGAACAUCUGAAGAGAUUGAGGAGUAUUGGACAGCAAAAUAUGGUUCAUCCACAGCCAAAAUUGAAUAAUAUUUUAAGUUCUUCUUAAUGUUAUAUUAAUGAAUAAUAUUCCAUAUGUUGUUAAUGAUUUAUUAAUACUGUUGAGACUAUUUAGCAUUGUUUUCUCAUUAAGAGUGUGUUAAACUAUUAUUUAAAAUUAAAAUAGUUGUGUGAUUUACUUUUUAAUUUUAUUAGAUUUAUUUUGUUAAUUGAUUGCUUGAAGUUUUUGAGCUUGUUUGA